rnacentral:lncRNA from 1 species
AACACGAUCGAGCCAAAGCUCAGAUUUCUCAGGUCCCUCAUUGCCCAAUAAAUUAUUGAUCUGAAGAUGGGAUACUAUUUCCAAAGUAGUCAUUAGAGGAGGAUGAAGUGAGGACUAAUAUGUUGGAAGUAUGCCCACAAAUCCACUCGUUUGAUGUAAUAGCUUUUGGAAUACUUAUUUUGUUAAACUAUUAUAUAUUUAAUGAAGGGAAAAUCUUAUUGUUAAUCACUAUUUUAUGUAUUACGCGUUUAACCAAUAAGGGAAUCCAAGGAAUGUAUUUAAUCUAAGAGAGAAGUGAUCUAAGUAUGUUAGAUUAACGCGACCCUUCUCUUAUGUUCAUUCCUAAAAUGUUCCUAGCCAUAGGAUUGCCAAUUGGGCAUUGACAAUCCGUUAAGGUUAGUAUGUGUUAUGUUAACUCAAGCAUAAAAUAUGACUAGUCUCAAGUCAUUCAGUGUUGGACACUGGGACAAACACAUAGGUGCUCAAAAAGUAAUUGAGUACACUGAACAACGAUCAAAAUGGAGGUUAGAGCUCAACAACUUGCAGUAAUAGACUUAUCAAUUGCCCAAGUUUGGUCUUCGCAGCAAGCCACUUCAGAAGGUUGUCAAGCCACAGGGACUUCUUUGGGUUCUAUCCAGGUACGUUUAGAAGCGUUGGUGCGAGAACAAGAAUAGUUGGAAGUCAAAGCAUCACAACUUCACGGUGUUCUCUCGGAGCGGGAAGCUACACUUUCUCAACAUCAAAAGGAGAUUUUACACCUAG